rnacentral:lncRNA from 1 species
AGAAAAUAACGCAAUCGACUGAUCAUAAUAGGGUUAUAAAUUCCAAUUUUGGAAUUUGUUUUCUUUCAUUGAUUGCUUAUUUUGAUUAUCUGUUAUUAUCUCUGAUCUAAAUGGAUUUUAAAUAUCUUGGUUUAGAUAAUAUUGUGAGAUUGUUGAUGAUUGUAUCAUUGCAUCACUAGACUGUUUGAUAUCUUAUCUUUGAUACAAC